rnacentral:rRNA from 1 species
UGGGGAAUUUUGCGCAAUGGGGGAAAACCUGACGCAGCAACGCCGCGUGAGUGAGGAAGGCCUUCGGGUCGUAAAGCUCUGUCAGAGGGGAAGAAAAUCGCUGUGGCUAAUAUCCAU